rnacentral:rRNA from 1 species
GGGACGAACGCUGGCGGCGUGCUUAACACAUGCAAGUCGAGCGGAAAGGCCACUUCGGUGGUACUCGAGCGGCGAACGGGUGAGUAACACGUGAGUAAUCUGCCCUCCACUUUGGGAUAGCCACCGGAAACGGUGAUUAAUACCGGAUAUGACCUUGGCCCGCAUGGGUUGUGGUGGAAAGUUUUUCGGUGGGGGAUGUGCUCGCGGCCUAUCAGCUUGAUGGUGGGGUAAUGGCCUACCAUGGCUUCGACGGGUAGCCGGCCUGAGAGGGUGACCGGCCACACUGGGACUGAGACACGGCCCAGACUCCUACGGGAGGCAGCAGUGGGGAAUAUUGGACAAUGGGCGAAGCCUGAUCCAGCAACGCCGCGUGAGGGAUGACGGCCUUCGGUUGUAAACCUCUUUCAGCACAGACGAAGCGAAAGUGACGGUAUGUGCAGAAGAAGCACGGCCAACUACGUGCCAGCAGCCGC